UACGGAGGGUGCAAGCGUUAAUCGGAAUUACUGGGCGUAAAGCGCACGCAGGCGGUCUGUCAAGUCGGAUGUGAAAUCCCCGGGCUCAACCCGGGAACUGCAUUCGAGACUGGCAGACUAGCGUCUUGUAGAGGGGGGUAGAAUUCCAGGUGUAGCGGUGAAAUGCGUAGAGAUCUGGAGGAAUACCGGUGGCGAAGGCAGCCCCCUGGACAAAGACUUACGCUCAUGCGCGAAAGCGUGGGGAGCCAACAGG
rnacentral:rRNA from 1 species